rnacentral:lncRNA from 1 species
CCCUUGGGUCACCCACCCCCUCCUGUUUGAGAAUUUGAAACCCGUUGAGAUCGCCACCCCUUAACCAUAUAUUCAUGUACGGGACAAUAUAACAAUUCAAAUGAAAGAUAGGAAGAGUCCCUGAGGUCACUGUACACCCUCCUUUUUGAGAACUUGGAAAUGGUCAAGAUCCUUACCCCUAAACCAUAUAUACUCAUGUAUGUGACAAUAUAACAAAUCAAAUCAAAUAAAGGGGAAGUCCCUGUGGUCACCCCAACCCUCCUGUUUGAGAACUUGGAAAUGGUUGAGAUCCCCACACCAAAACAAUAUAUAUUCAUGUAUGAGGCAAAUUAUAACUAAUUAAAUGAAAUAUAUGUCAUGUAUGUGGAGUCCCUGGGGUCACCCUACCCCUCCUGUUUGAGAACUUGGAAACCAAUGAGAUCCCCACCCCUAAACCAUAUAUAUUCAUGUUUGGGACAAUAUAACAAAUAAAAUGAAAUAUAGGGGAAGUCCCUAGGGUCACCCUACCCCCAGUGGCGGAUCCAGAAUUUUUCAUAAGUGGGGGCCGCUGACUGACCUAAGAGGGGGCCACUCCAGUCACGCUUCAGUGAUUCCCUAUAUAAGCAACCAAUUUUUUUCCCAAAAAGGGUGGGACUGGAUAACUUAUAAAUUAUUUGCCUUAAUAAAUAAAUCAUUAGAUAAACAUGAAUGAAUAAUAUAUAUGAAUGUUUAAUGUUGAGGCAACAUUGCCACAGUUUUCAUAAUUACGGUUGCCUUGGUUUUUGGUUAACUGCCUUCAGCGCUUACAGCGCUUUGAUUUACUUUU